CCUGAAUCCAGAACAGGGACUCAGCAGAGAGGAGGGAGGAAUCAAUCCUUGAGCAUGAGAAGGCUGGAGUGCAGAACCAGGAAAGAGAGGAUGCACCCUCCUCCAUCCAUACUUUUAUACAGUGAUCAGCAAUCACCAUCCAUUCCUCGGUGGAUUGUGUGCAUCUCACCCUCUCCAUCUCCUUGCUCAGGCCUGGGGCUGCUUGCCAAGGGCACGGGGCUUCCAUGCAUACCUGCUUUUCUACAGACAUCUGAGUAGAGAAGAGAUAGCGCCGGCAAACAGAUGUCGGCAGCUCCUCGCUGGGGAGCGGUCCCUCUGGACGCGUCGGGUCGGCCAGGAGCACCGGUGCCUUUCAGCAUUGUCCUAAAACUCCCAGCCCGAACCGUGCCGCGGGUUCCCACAGCUGCGCUCACAAAGGAGACACAACGGGCUCCUCUGGGGACAAAACCUAAUCUGAGAGAUACCAGGCUGAGAAAGCUCUUCCUAAAAAAGACACAGUCAAAAGCUCUCGGAUGCCCCGCGUCCGCUGAUACCCGAUCCGGCCGCCUGUGCUACCAUUACCUCCAGGCAGGCUUUGUCCGCUGCGGCUCCCCUGAAUGUCACACUUGUUCCCAAAUACCAGCGGGGAACAAUGCAGGGGCAACGCAAGGAAAAGCCUCCUCUGUCCCUCCCAGCCUGAGAGUAAAUAUCAAAUGCCUGUGCUGAGGGGAGGGGGGAGGAACAGCGAGCAGGGGGACGAAAAGGAGAAAGUCCACAGUUGAGACAUGUCACAGUGAAAAUGGGUCAUGGCUAUAGGGUGGCAGGCAGAAUAGACCCCAUCCCUCUGUGCUGGGAGGCCUGGUGAGCAGCUCCUUCACACACAGCCCCAGCAUCCUCUGCCCCAUGGGGCAUGAGCUGGAUGCAAUCUGGUUUUCCAUCCCUAUCUUCUCUCCCCACUGAUGGUGAAGUCAAGUCCUUUUCAGCCCCCUCCUUCCUGCAGGCUGCACAGGGUUUCUUCCUCUCUUAACGUGUCCCUUUGUCCCUUGAAGGGAACGUGUUUCCAGCUGAAAAUGCCAGCAGCCCUGUCCUGUCCCAGAUGGGAACAUGGUCCUCCCACGUCCCUGUGCUCCCCAGAGCUCAGGCAGUGCAGGCAGGAGCCCGGCUCUAUCAAAAGCUGUUGGAAAUGCAAACAAACACUGCCAUGAGCGCAGUGGCUAUCAGCUGUGCAUCCUCUUUCUUGUCUGAGGGUGAAAGGGAAAAUCAGCCCAAAAUAUGAAUUUCUGCCUGCACAGCUGUCCUUGCCCAUAGACCAAUGGAGGGGCUAGCAGGUCCAUGGCUUGGACAUUGCCUGGAGCAACGGGACAGGAAAAUUGGAUUUCUGACCCAAGACUCGCUGAUGUUAGAGGCCGAUUUCCCAGAGAUUUUGCCAGGCUUUUAUGCAAUCCUGUAAUGAAUCACUGGGAUCAUGGAAGGAAGCAAAGCAGCAAGAACAGAGGGCAGGUGAGCUUGAAAAACCAAUCCAGCUGAGCACAGAAGACCAAUAUGAAAAGUCUUAUUUCAGAGAAAUUGGAGAAGUAAGGGCUGGGUUUGGGGUGUCCUGUUCUGAACUAACACAGAUGCUAGGAAAAGACAUCUGUUCUCAUUUCAUCUGGUAUAUGCAGCAGAGAAGAUUCAGAGGGAUCCCAUUUGGGUCCUGGAGACAAGGCUGGACACGGUGCCAUGUUAUAUCCUUGGUGGACCGUAAUGGGAAGUUUGGGAAGUGACCCCACUGAGCAAGCCAAGGCAGGGCCAACUGCUGAAACUGCAUUUUGGAGAUGAAUAGAGUCUCAUGUGUUGCAAAAGUUGAUGGAAGACUUCCUGCAAAGAGAGGACAACCCAGGAGCAGCCCCAUCUGUUGCCAAAUGGCCACACAGGGAGUGUGACCUUGUCCCAUAAGAUAACGAGAUUUAUUCUGCUCCUUUUGAUAGGACAUCGAUUAAGUCUUCCAUGCUUGUGAGGGCACCGGGGGUUCAAAGCGCCAAAGGGGCAGCAUGGAGUAAUGCAAGACGAGGCUCCCUCGGCUUUGCCCAGAGAUUUAUGGAUGCUGUUUGUCACAGAGCAGGAUUGGAAUGAAUAUCCAACUGCUUGUGACCAGAAAGGCAGACUCCAUCCAAGCCGCCGCGUGGAGAUGAACUCCAAACAAGCCUUGAGACCCCUGGCACAUCGGGAACCCAAACAGAGCGCUCUGCCAGCAUUGGGCCCCGCUCAGCUGGCUGCUGUCCCAGUGCUGUGCCUUGCACUGCUGGAGUGAUGAGUUCUCUGCACAACCAAGCUGGGGAUCCACCGAGCCGGGAGGGUGUCUGUCUGUCUGUCUGUCUGUUGCACUGACAAACGGCCAGCGCCAGUUUUGACACUCAUUCAAGAGAAAUAGCUGUUUUCAGUGGACGCAGCCUCGCAUUCCUCAUGCCUUUAGAGUGAGAUCUUCAGUUAGGGCAACCCAACAGGACAUCACCAGCGGAGCAGCGUUGUGCUGGCGGUGCUCCUUGGGAAAUAAAGCACAGCCACAGGUGCGACAGGAGCAGAGGAGCCCUUUGUGGGUGGAACUUGGUGCUGCUGGGAGAUUUCAGCCCAAUUUUGGGCUGGGAGCCGGGCCCACCUGUGUGCAGGAGGAGCACAGGGCCAUGUGUGCUCAUGGAUGGCUGCCUGCAGGAAGCUUCCCUGUGCUAUUUUUGCAGCGCUGACCUCACUGCUCGGAGCAGGCUGCCCUUCUCCAGCUUCCUCUCCUUGAUAGCUGCCUUUUGCCCCGUAUUUCCUCAUGUGUUGAGCCAUCACCUUAAGACUCUUCUCAUUUCUUGAGUUCUUGUUUAUCUCCUCGAGCGGCACAGGGCUCUGACGGGGCUCUGCCUUCCUGUCCUGCCUUGCCAGUUCCUCUGUUUACCUAUAACACAAAUUAAGCUUUUGUUUUUUGUUUUCUUGUUGUUUUUUUUCCUUUCCUUCUGUUUUGAUUUGUUUUCUUUUUAACCCAGAGCAACAACUUGGUACCGGGAGAAGUGUUCUCCUCUCUCCUUUCUCCUCGUUUCUCCACGAUCCCCACCUCUUCUCCAGUUCUUACCACCUGCCACAAGCGUUCCUUUUGUCUUCACCACAGCCACCGAGCCCCGAGCGCGUCCCAUCGUCCCCACUGCCACUGACAGGGAGGUAAAGGCUUUGAUCCCAAGGGGACUCGGAGGGGAAAUGAAAAUCCCUUUGCUCCCCCACCUCCCUGCGCUCCCCCAUGACCCCUCUCCCCUCGGCGGUCCCACACUGUUCCCUCACAAAACAAAUUCUUCCUGGAUUAUAUUUUAAUAUCUGCAAAGCCUCAAGUUUGAAAGAAAAACAAAUGUGAAACCGGCUCUUGAAUUUCCUUGAUGUGAAAAAAGAGAAACCUCCUCCAUGGCUCCUGAGAGCCCUCCUAGGAGCCCCAUGAGCGGAUUAGGGUGGGCAGAGCUGACAGCCACGCACUCCAUCAGACCGGGGAUUGAGAUGUCAGGAGUUUAAACCAAAAAGAGAUGGGACAGGCACGCAGUGCAAGGGGAGAGUGUGGUAGUGAGCAUCUCGGGAGCCUCUAUCCCCAUGCACUGCUGAUUUGGGUCCCUGGGGAUGCACCAGGAGUAAGGUCCUGGGGAACACCUGCCUGUGGUAGAGGCUGCAGUCUGGCUUUUGCAUUUGCCCCAGUUUGGGCUUGGGGGAAAUGACAUCUUGUCGGUGCCCAUCCCUCAGACUGCUCCCUGCUCAUCACAAGGGCUCUGUGCUUGUUCCAGGGUAAAAGCCACGUUAUUCUGACUGUACCAACCAAGAGAGCUCCUUUUUGGCCAAAGUCCUUUUUCCAGCAGAGGGAACAAUCACACACAGGUGGUCCCCAGCUGGGAAUGGCUGCUCAUUCCCCGUUUGGUCAACACCUGAGAUAAACCCAAAAGAGAUGCCCUUGUCAUAUUUGCUCUUUUGAGGUCAGGGAACAGGGGACACUCGCUGUGUGCAGGACAGAGGCUGCAGUGAGGGGAGCGAUCGCUCUGCUGAGGACGCCUUGUCCCUUCCAAGAGUACAAACCACGUUGCCUCCACCCUUCCUGAUGAGAACCUUUUCAAGCUGCAGGGAGUGGCAAUAAAGAGUUUCCUCGCGUUUUGCUAGCAGGCUUUUGGAGCAAAAACAUCGACCCUCCCCAGGUGACAGCGGUGUGCAGAAUGACAGCAUGUUGUUUCCCAGCCCAUGGGACUCCCUCCGCGUCUUGGCUCCAGGCAGUGGGUGGCAUGGGCUGCCCACGAGCCCCAGGGUACCUCCUGCAGUAUUUUGAUUUGGAUUCUUCUUUGUGCAAAUAAAUCCAGGUCUGAAGGCUCUGGGUGAUGGGAACAUCUUUCCCCAUCACCUGGCUGGGUUCUUUGCACUGAGCUUGUACGUAUGGGAGAGUAAUUCCAAGGGGACUGCUCAGACCUCUGGAUGGGCACCGCACACUGGGCACCUUGGUGGGAGGUUCCAGCACAUAGAGAUGGAAGCACAAGUGGGGCCUGGUGAGCCUGGAGUCAAUAGUAUCCAAGAACAAGAACAUGGGAAGAAAUGUUCUGAACUCUCCUCUUAUUGCCACGUGGAUUUGUUCUGGCUUCUCUACGUUUGGGGCUGAAAAUAUUCUCUUCCCAAAAGGAUCACCUGUUGUGGGUUGGCCACCACAAGGCCAUCCCAUGGCAUGGAUGGAUUGGAAGGAAGGAUUUGUCAUAACAGGCUGACUCCCCAGAGGCUUAAAAAUACAUUUUUAAUGAAGUUUAAGGGGUGGUUCUGAGUUCUCCUGGACAAAGCAAUCUUGCAGCAGCUGGGCUGAAACACAGCAAGAACAAAUACUGACUUAUAAGUAUUCCACUUGCAUCUAUGAAGAAUUCUUCCUCUCUUCUUCAAGUCUUAGGCCUUUUCACCUGGAGCCUUUCUUCUGAAUAAAUUGCUGCUGUAAAUUCCAGUGUCUGACAACAUCCUUGUCCUCAGGCUGUGUGUGCACUUAAGAGCCUUCAUGGAAACACAAAGAUUGCCUUUGCUAUGCUGAUUUGCUGGGGAACCCUGGAAGUUUG
ensembl:lncRNA